UCGCCCUAUAAACGGGUAAUUAUACUGACACGGGCGAAGGGGUAUUUCCUCUCCGCCCGUGCAUUCAUCUAGGGGCAAUUUAAAAAAGA
rnacentral:sRNA from 1 species